CUGGCCCCUGGUGUCUUCUUCUCUGGUGAAUCCCCCUCAUUCCUUCCUGGGUUCCAGGAGGUGAGCAGCUCUCCUCCACCACACCCUUCCACCAUGAUGUUCCUGCCUUGGAGUCAGCCAACCAUGGACUGAGUCCUCUGAAAUCCUGAGCCAAAGUAGACUCUCCUCCUUUAAGUUGUGGGUGUUGGUAUUGUGUGCCAGCAACAAAAAAAUGACCAAUAUAUGCACUAAUUAAAUUUUCUCUGUGUUCAUCAAGGUCCAGUCAGGAGGCAGAAACCAUCCUGUGGUUUGAACAGAGGAAGUUUAACUGCCCAUCUUUCAGGAGAUGUGGCUGGGAAAAGAAGUGACCCCCACGCUGUAAAGCUGAAGAUGGCUCCUACCCACCUGCAUCCGGGGAGCUUUCCCUGGGCUCCAAAGCUUUCACCAGAAACAUCAUUCCUGAUUCAGCACCUGCUUCUGUGCUCGGUGCCUGCCUCAUCCCACCAAGCUUGAGAUAACGAAGCCUAAGUGGAGUUUGGAUUCGGAGCAUAAAGAAAAGCGCUUUCUCCCUGUGCACUGUGGGAGCUGCUGAUCCAAGCCUGCUGCACCGGCAAAUGCUUGCGAAAGGAAUAUUCCCAAGGACAUAUGUUGGGCCAUUCCACAAAUGUCCAGUGGACAUUCUUGUGAUUCUCGGAGCAAAGGGAGAGGCUGGAAAACAGGAUGUGUGGAGAAACUCUCGUCACAGGAGCCCGGCUGGGAGCGGCUGGGGCCUGUCCUCUCAGCCGUCUCCAGAGUGGCGCGGGACUCCCCAGCUCCGCCGAUGGCCGUGGUGAAGCUCUGCCAGGGCCGAGUUCUCAGCUGUGUGGACACGGUGUGUUGCAACAGACCUUCCCUAGAACCUUGUUCCUGCUGCAGUGUAGGAGGUGUGAUUAAGACAUCUCCAUUUAAAAAUGUAUUACAGUAAAAGACGCCUUUCCAUUAAUCCCUCAAAAUACUUCCUCUCACUUGGAACACACUUAUCCUGUCGUUCUUGCCACUUUCUGAAGCAGCCCUGGAGUCCUUUUUCAUUACUGUCUUUACAAAGUGUGUUCAAAAGUGUGGCAAAUGUGCUUGCUGACAGUCAUCUGACAGAAAAGUGGCUCAGAAAAUCACGACGCUGUGUCCCCAGGCACCUUACUCACCGAAUCUGGUACCGUGCAACUUCUGGCCCUUUCCCAAAGUCAAAAUGACCCGGAAAGGUAAACAGUUUGAGCUGAUUCAGGGCACCAAGGCAGCCAGGACCACGCAACUAAAGACAUUUUUUAAAGAGGACUUGCAGAACUGCCUCGGAAGGUGGCAAGGAUG